CAGGAAGUGUGUGAAUCGGUAAGCUGCGUGUCUCCUCAUCGCAUCUCCAUCAGUCUUGCUGGGCCGGCGCUAGAGGGCACGCACUGCGGCGGAGAAAACUGGUGCCGCGGGGGGAAGUGCGUGCCAUGGGGAAGCGAUGGCCCUCUCGAAGUCGUGGACGGGGGGUGGGGCCCCGUGACCACCAGCGAGUGCCAGUCGGGGUGCGUCGAAGGAGGCACAGGUGUGCGGCGCGACCCCGAGGCGGACGGUGGCGGCGCUGGCGAGUCAUAUGUGCAAGACGGUCGCCGAGCUGAAGAAGGAGAUCCUGCCGGAGGGACUGCAGAUGGCCUACA